rnacentral:rRNA from 1 species
GCAGUUAGGAAUCGUCCACAAUGGGCGAAAGCCUGAUGGAGCGACACUGCAGAGGGAUGACCGCCUUCAGCGAGUCAACCUGUGAAGCAGCGGCGGAUAAUGCCGGUAGCCGUUGAGAAGCACCGGCUAACUGCGUGCCAGCAGAAGCGGUAAUACGGAGGGUGCAAGCGUUAUCCGGAAUCACUGGGCGUAAAGGGCGCGUAGGCGGUCCUGUAAGUCACGAUGUUAAAGACCGGGGCUCAACCACCGACACGGUGUUGGAUACUAUUGGGCUUGGAGGCUGGAGAGGCGAGUGGAAUUACACAGUGUAGCGGUGGAAUGCGUAGAUACUGCUAGGAACACCCAUUGCGAAGGCAGCUCUCUGGACAACCCUCCCGCUGAGGCGAAAAUUGUGGGGAGCAAACCGGAUUAGAUACCCGGGUAGUCCUCGCCCUAAACGAUGCACUCUUGGUGUUGGCCCGUUGGGGGGUGCGCCGGAUCUAACGGGUUAAGUCAAUUCAUUGGGAAGUGCGGGUGCAAGGUUGAAA